rnacentral:rRNA from 1 species
AAGCGUUGUGGAAACUAUUCGCUAAAGGGUGUUCGGGAGGCUACGC